AUUAAUAUCCAUAAAGAUCCAUAGGGGUGUCCCUGCUAUACGCGAACCAUUAUCCUUAACAGUCUUAAUUCCAAGGCCGUCCUCAUACCCCGUCCGGUAUGAGCGCCAAGACAUUAAACCUCAAUACUCCGUCCGGUAUGAGGGUGAAACGGGUCAUCCCCAUACCCCGUCCGGUAUGAGGGUGAAACGGGUCAUCCCCAUACCCCGUCCGGUAUGAGACGACGUUCACAGUAGGGUUCCCUAUGAACCCAGUCCGUCCACCAUCUCCCAGAAUAUCUAGUGAAGCUGUCACCUUAUCUGUUUUCUCUUAAUCUCCGUUACCAAGU
rnacentral:lncRNA from 1 species